rnacentral:lncRNA from 1 species
AUGUACUUUGUAUUGUGUUAGGCAUGUGACCUAUAUAUAGGCAUGCUAACACAUCUUGUAAUCACUUUUGAGCUUAAUGAGAAUAAACUUUUCUAAUUCAGAAAAUUAUUCUCUCUUGAAAGUCAUUGGCUAGAGAGUCCAAAGACCUCUAGCCUCCUUCCAAAGCACACUUCAUUAUUUCAUUGUUCCAUUAAUUUCCAUGGUGCUUCUCACUCAUCCACGUUGAUCCACUCUUUUGUUGCCACCUAGCCCUCUGCCUGCGUCAGCUAUCCAAAUCCUCGGACGAAUUCUUUCUCACGCAUCAGAGAGAGAAUUCUUCAUUUCUCCCCAUUCCACUCGCGUACACUCACUGCUCUCAUAUUGACUUCAGAGAAAACUUUCUCUGCUAGGGUUUCAGCCAUCCGAGCCCAUGCCUUCGUCUUCCAACUCAGAUCUACAUCCUUCCACCGGUAAAUUUGAUUUUCUUCCUCAGAUCCACCUUCUCAUCACCAUUACCUUCCUUUUAAUCGAACAUUUUGGCUUUUCCCUUCAAUCUCACCGAUUCAAUCGGUGAAUCCUCCAGUUUCACCGAUUAAAACUUCACUAAUCCCUAAACCUAUCAUUUACACCGAACAAACCAUCAUAAACCUUAGGUUUUCUCCGAUUCCGACCUUCCGCUGCGUCCAUUGUCCGUUCAACCGUCGAUCCGUGUCAAUUUCUUCAGCUCGUCGCUGAUCUGCCUCAGAGCCGAGCGUAUCAUGUGGUAUUCAGAGCUCGGUUCAAGCACGCGUCAACAACUAAGUAUCUCUGAUUUUUGUUUUCAUCGUUUCUCGUUUUUGUUUCAGUUUGAUUCUCAUCUUUGUCUUCAUGUUUUCACUGUUUUGUGUUGAUUUGCUUCCGCGUUGUUCAUAAUUUUCCUUUUAUGUCUUGAUCUAGUUUAAUUGUGCGUUUUCUCUGUUUGAGUUUUGUGUUUUGUUGUUCAUGAAUAUCUUCAUAUCUGUGUUAGGUCUUCAAUUUGUUUGAUCUGUGCUUGUGGUGCCUUGAGUCAGUGUUAUGUUCAUUUUAUUCGGUCAUAUUGUUGUUUGAGUCAUUUUUAUUUGAGCAUCGUGUCUGGUUUGUCAAAGUCAUGUUCAUUUGCUUAAACUGUUUUCAAAUCUGGUAAUAACCGUGUGUUGCAUCUGGAAAUCUGAGUGAAUAGACAUAUUCUGCACAAUCAAAUGAGCUAUGACCAUCUUUAUGAGGAGCUCAAGUGCAUGAUUAGUGUCAAUCAUUUCAAAAUAAUUGCAGAUUUGUGUUGGUUGAUUCUAUUUUAGCAUUUGUUAAUCAUUGUUCAUUGGAUAAUUGUGUGUCUGACUUGCUAUUCUGGAGAUGUAUCAAUGCUUACUUAAAACUGAUCCAGAAUGAACACCAUAUGAGCAUGAAAUUGCCUUGGCAAGUGGCUUGGUGAUAGAUUGGAAAUUUAGAGUGCAUUGGCAGUAGGCUGAACUGCAUCUUUCCUUGUUUUGAGUUUGUUCCUUUGAUUUUUUUUUUUGUUCAUUUCAGUAGUAGAUCAUUGCUAGAAUUUUGUGCAUCCAAUCCUUGAGUCAUUGCAAACCAUUUUUACACUUUCUAAACUGCAGAACUAAGUUGUUUCAUUGCUUGCUAAUCACUGUUGUGGUCCAAAACGAAAUAAAGGCAUAAGAGUUGAGUUAAUCAGUCAAAAGAGGCAAAUUAUGUAAAGAAAAAUGAGGAACUGAACACGUGAAGUUUGAGUAAAAGCCUAUGAAUUGGUGUAAACUGGCCUUGAAUUAACCAAAAUAGCUAUUGGACAAGAUCAAUUUUGCAUCUGAAACAUGUUUUCAAUAACCAGUUCUCCAAUUCUUUGCUGCAUUUUCUUGAGUUUUUUUAAUCCACUCUAGAGCUUUGUUAGGAUUCUGAAUUGUGUGCCAGCUGUUCUUGAUAGCUUUGUUCAUUGCUUGUCUUAAUUGCUAAAUCUAGUUUUGUCCAUUACAAGUGCAAUCUAUUCUGUUGUUCUUAAUUUGAGGUUUCUUUGCUUUAUUCAUCUGAUCUAGAGUCUGUCUAGAGUUCUUGAGUUGCUCUGUUGUGCUGUCUUUGCUUGACCUUGUCUCUGUUCUGUCUUCACUUUACUUAGCCUAGCCAUUUCUUAUUUCUUGAGAAGCACUUUUAUUCUGGUUUUUUGGAAUUUUGAAAGAAGGUUUUUGUGCUUGGUAGCAUUCUAGGUGGUGGUGGUCUGAAAGACUAUCCAGCCUUGUACUGACAAGGGAGAAUCUCCCUUCCAAACCUUCAUUUGUGUGUUUCAUGUUUUUACAGAGAAACCUUCAGAAAUAGUUUUGAAUUAGUGAGCUUUGUGUGGCUGCAUCUAAGAGCCAAAUUUCUUGUUGAGAGUGUGUUCUUGUUUAAGUGCUUAAAUAAGUUGUGAAAUUGAAAUGUGCUAACUAGUUAAAGUUGUGCAGUUUUGUUUGGNUGACAUCUACAGGGAUAAAAGUUGUUCCAAAAGGUAAAAUACACAUAACUGCAGCAGUGUAGAAGUUGGACACUGAAUCUGGUGGGAAUUGAGCAUAGUGGAACUUGGAGCAGUCUACAAACGUCCAUCCGAAUAGGGAAGUUGUCUAACUUACCCUUGUUUUGAAUUGUUGCUUCUAUUUUAGCCUGCAAGUGAUAAUCUUGAAUGAAUAUCCUGCUGAUUUGAAAAUUAACUGUGCAUGAACUCAUUUAUUUGGAGAAACUAGUCUUGUGCAUUCAAUGAAUUGACUGUAACUGAUGUGGUAGUAAAGGGUUUCAAAAUCAGUGGCUGCAUAGUUGGUUUUAUGUGUUUAAAAUUGUCCUGCAANUGUAGCACUGAGUUUUUGNGAAAUUAAGAACCAUAUUUGAAUUNAAGAGCUGUCCAAACAGUUGAUUAUUGCAUGUCUUAUAUUGUUCCUGGUUUGGCAGAUAUAAGAUUGGUGUGAUAAUCUGAGUGUUUCUGGUUUAUAUUUCCAUUUUUUCAGUUUAUGUGUUGGCUGUUGUAGUGUGAGAUUUGUGUGCAGAGCUGAACCAGGAUUGUAGUACGUGAAUCAUCCGUGUAGCAGUGGAACCAGGACUACAGCAGCAUCUGUGUGCAAAUUUUAAUUGGAGACCUAAGCAAUUCUUUUGGCUGCCUAACAAUUGUACAAGACUAAGAUAGGGAAGUGCUUACUACCAUAUAUAUUUCUUUGUAUGUGCAAACUGUUUGGCUGAGUGUGUAAGUGACAGAAUCUUUGUGUCUUUGUGUUACAAAAUUGGAACAGCUAGUUUAUUGAUUAGACCGAGAGCUGAAAAGCAUAUUUAGAUACUUGAAGAUUUUGUUCAAGAUGAAUGAAGUGGAAUGGGACUGGACUGGACCAUAGCAGUUGUGGGUUGUCACUGCGUUGGAUCAAGAUCCCGUAGCAUAGCUUUUGUUUUAUUUAUUUGUAUUUGAUGGGCUUGCAGCCCAACUGCUAGUCUUAGCUUUUGUGUUUGUAAAAGGCCUUUAUAAAGUCCAAGUUUGGAAGAGUCCUUGGUGCUCUUUCAAAUCUUGGCAACUUUAAUUGUUUUUCUUUUUGAUUCACGUAUAGGUGUGACUUUUUGUCACAUUAGAGUCCGUACGUCGUUGUAGGGGUCUUAGAGUCCGUUUUCAUUGUUUGUUUCUUUUGAGUCCUGUACUUUGAUUUUAAAUGUAAUUUUACUUUAAAGGAUGUCUAGGAUUAGUGAUUCUGAGAAGCAAUAUAUUCUUAGGAAACUAAUGAAACAAGUUGGGAAUAUUAAAGAGAGCUUGAAUCAAGAUAGACUUAAUAGGGAGGUGCAAACCUCAAUCAUACAAAAUGAACUUAGAGUCAUAAAAAGAGAACAAAAGAAUCAAAGAAAUCAAAAGCUUUUAGGAGAACUCAUUCAAGAGGGUAGAUCAUUCCUUAAAAGUUUAAAUGGAUUUUAUUGUUAGGAACGAGAAUUUAGAGAUAAACUUAUGAAUUUCUUGAAUGAGGGAAGUAAAAGAGACCUAGAGAGAAAAUGUAGGGAACAACAAGAAAGAAUAGAAAGACACGAGAGAAGAAAAGAGAGAAAAAGAGAAGAAGAAAGAAGAAGAGAAAGAGAGAGAAGAAGAGAGCAAGUGAGAAUAGAAGAGGAAGAAAGAGAGAGAAGNGAACGAGUGAAGANAGAUGAGNAAGAAAAAAUAGAGCAACAUAGGAAAGAAGAGGAAGAAAAAGAGAGAAUAAGAAGAGAGAAAGAAAAGAGAGAAGGGGAAGAAAAGCGAGAGAAGGAAGAACUUGAAAGGAAGGAAAGGGAAGAAAAGAAAUCGUUGACAAUAUCUCCUAAUCUAGAACCCAAAAGGGGAGGUUUUCUAUCCUUAAACUUUCCUUCAAUUGAUAUUACAUGUUCCAAAUUCAUCUUUUCUCUCCAAAACAUUGCCAUCACAUCUUUUCAAAAGUUGCAAUCUUUAACACAUGGCAAUCAAAAACUUGAGUUAGAGAUAUCUUCCAAGUUAUCAUUAACUCAAGUCAAAAAUAAAUUUCCAAAUGAAGUAGGGUUUUCUUAUACUCAUAAACAUGAAAAUUUUAAAAUUAAGAACCCUUCUUUUAAAAAUACUCUUUUAUAUACUUUGGGUCAUAGAAAACUAAUUAGUGUUAUGUUUGAUGCUUAUUGUAGAUUUACUUUUGACCCAGGAGGAGUUUGUAGAGAGGCAACUAAAAAUAAGUCCUCAAAAGCCAUUGGCUAGAGAGUCCAAAGACCUCUAGCCUCCUUCCAAAGCACACUUCAUUAUUUCAUUGUUCCAUUAAUUUCCAUGGUGCUUCUCACUCAUCCACGUUGAUCCACUCUUUUGUUGCCACCUAGCCCUCUGCCUGCGUCAGCUAUCCAAAUCCUCGGACGAAUUCUUUCUCACGCAUCAGAGAGAGAAUUCUUCAUUUCUCCCCAUUCCACUCGCGUACACUCACUGCUCUCAUAUUGACUUCAGAGAAAACUUUCUCUGCUAGGGUUUCAGCCAUCUGAGCCCAUGCCUUCGUCUUCCAACUCAGAUCUACAUCCUUCCACCGGUAAAUUUGAUUUUCUUCCUCAGAUCCACCUUUUCAUCACCAUCGCCUUCCUUUUAAUCGAACAUUUUGGCUUUUCCCUUCAAUCUCACCAAUUCAAUCGGUGAAUCCUCCAGUUUCACCGAUUAAAACUUCACCAAUCCCUAAACCUAUCAUUUACACCGAACAAACCAUCAUAAACCUUAGGUUUUCUCCGAUUCCGACCUUUCGCU